CUCGAUGCAACAUCAUCUUUUAUAUUUUACCAAAAAAAAAUUAUAUUAUAUUGUGUUUUUUAUAUUAUAUAUAUUGUCAGAGAUGUCAAGUUGCUGUCGGGGAUUGGGUCUGACCCAGGAACCAUCAUUUUUGGAGUGAAUUGUGUACAUUUAUUGAGAAGUUGGCUCUCCCUAACAUCUGUACUCCUAAUAUGUGUUUAUUGAGCAACCUAGGUAAGGAGGUACUUAGAGAAUCUCAAAAGUCCCUACUCCGACUUUUACGCCAAAAAAUAGGUGUUUAUUGGACAACCUAGAUAAGGAGGUACUUAGAGAAUCUCAAAAGUCCCUACUCCGACUUUUACGCCAAAAAAUAGGUGUUUAUUAGGCAACCUAGAUAAGGAGGUACUUAGAGAAUCUCAAAAGUCCCUACUCC